rnacentral:rRNA from 1 species
UACGUAGGGGGCAAGCGUUGUCCGGAAUUAUUGGGCGUAAAGAGCUCGUAGGCGGUUUGUCGCGUCUGCCGUGAAAGUCCGGGGCUCAACCCCGGAUCUGCGGUGGGUACGGGCAGACUUGAGUGCAGUAGGGGAGACUGGAAUUCCUGGUGUAGCGGUGAAAUGCGCAGAUAUCAGGAGGAACACCGAUGGCGAAGGCAGGUCUCUGGGCUGUAACUGACGCUGAGGAGCGAAAGCAUGGGGAGCGAACAGG